CCUACGGGAGGCAGCAGUAGGGAAUAUUGCUCAAUGGGGAAAACCCUGAAGCAGCAACGCCGCGUGGAGGAUGACGGUUUUCGGAUUGUAAACUCCUUUUGUUAGAGAAGAUAAUGACGGUAUCUAACGAAUAAGCACCGGCUAACUCCGUGCCAGCAGCCGCGGUAAUACGGAAGGUGCAAGCGUUACUCGGAAUCACUGGGCGUAAAGGGCGCGUAGGCGGGAUAGCAAGUCAGAUGUGAAAUCCUAUGGCUUAACCAUAGAACUGCAUUUGAAACUGUUAUUCUAGAGUAUGGGAGAGGUAGGUGGAAUGCUUGGUGUAGGGGUAAAAUCCGUAGAGAUCAAGAGGAAUACUCAUUGCGAAGGCGACCUGCUAGAACAUAACUGACGCUGAUGCGCGAAAGCGUGGGGAGCAAACAGGAUUAGAUACCCUGGUAGUC
rnacentral:rRNA from 1 species